rnacentral:sRNA from 2 species
GAAUGGUCUUGGUCUUCGAGAGCUUCAGGAUUUGCAAGCACGGCAUGGCGCUCGACCCGAAGCUUGCCAUCCCAGCCUUUACCAUCGUUCAUUGCCGCACUACAGUCUUUCAUCUCGGUAUUUGUAGCCGGGGUUGGGGUUAGAGUUGAGACUGGGGACUCCAGAUGCGGUUUGGUCAUGUAACUAGCUGUUGCGCGCGGGCUGGGAAGAUGGCCGGACGUUCAGGAAGGCGAAGAGGAAAGAAGCUCUGGAGACAGUAAUACGCUCAAAUGUAUGAGAAAAGGCGAUCUGUAGCAGUUGGGUUUUAUCACGACACGA